AGUGAACGCUGGCGGCGUGCUUAACACAUGCAAGUCGAACGAGAACGGAUUAUAGCUUGCUAUAAUUGUCAGCUAAGUGGCGCACGGGUGAGUAAUAUAUAGGUAAUGUGCCCUAGAGAAGAGGAUAACAGUUGGAAACGACUGCUAAGACUCUAUAUGCCUUUAAGACAGAAGUCUGCAAGGGAAAUAUUUAUAGCUCUAGGAUCAGCCUGUACAGUAUCAGUUAGUUGGUGAGGUAAUGGCUCACCAAGACAAUGACACUUAACUGGUUUGAGAGGAUGAUCAGUCACACUGGAACUGAGACACGGUCCAGACUCCUACGGGAGGCAGCAGUGGGGAAUAUUGCACAAUGGACGAAAGUCUGAUGCAGCAACGCCGCGUGGAGGAUGACACAUUUCGGUGCGUAAACUCCUUUAUAUGGGAAGAUAAUGACGGUACCAUAUGAAUAAGCACCGGCU
rnacentral:rRNA from 1 species